rnacentral:rRNA from 1 species
UACGGAGGGUGCAAGCGUUAUCCGGAUUUACUGGGUUUAAAGGGUGCGUAGGCGGGCCAUUAAGUCAGUGGUGAAAGCUCCGAGCUUAACUCGGAAACUGCCAUUGAUACCAUUAGUCUUGAAUUCGGUCGAGGUUGGCGGAAUGUGUCGUGUAGCGGUGAAAUGCUUAGAUAUGACACAGAACACCGAUUGCGAAGGCAGCUAGCUAGACCGACAUUGACGCUGAGGCACGAAAGCGUGGGGAUCAAACAGG